UACGAAGGGGGGCAAGCGUUUGUUCGGAUUUACUGGGCGUAAAGGGCGCGCAGGCGGCUCUUCAAGUCAGAUGUGAAAGCCCCCGGGCUCAACCUGGGAACUGCAUUUGAGACUGAAGAACUCGAGUUCGGGAGAGGAUGGCGGAAUUCCCAGUGUAGAGGUGAAAUUCGUAGAUAUUGGGAAGAACACCGGUGGCGAAGGCGGCCAUCUGGACCGAGACUGACGCUGAG
rnacentral:rRNA from 1 species